rnacentral:rRNA from 1 species
GAAGCUGGAGUUACUAGUAAUCGCAGAUCAGAAUGCUGCGGUGAAUGCGUUCCCGGGUCUUGUACACACCGCCCGUCACACCACGGAAGUUGGGGGCGCCCGAAGCCACUUAGCUAACCCUUUUGGGAAGCGAGUGUCGAAGGUGAAAUCAAUAACUGGGGUGAAGUCGUAACAAGGUAAC